rnacentral:tRNA from 2 species
GGCCGGGUGGCGGAAUGGUAGACGCGUAGGUCUCAAAAACCUAUGGUAUGCAAAUACCGUGAGAGUUCGAGUCUCUCCCUGGCCA